CCAGACUCCUACGGGAGGCAGCAGUGGGGAAUAUUGCGCAAUGGGGGCAACCCUGACGCAGCAACGCCGCGUGAUUGAAGAAGGUCUUCGGGUUGUAAAGAUCUUUAAUCAGGGACGAAAAAUGACGGUACCUGAAGAAUAAGCUCCGGCUAACUCCGUGCCAGCAGCCGCGGUAAUACGGAGGAUGCGAGCGUUAUCCGGAUUUAUUGGGUUUAAAGGGUGCGCAGGCGGUCUGUUAAGUCAGCGGUCAAAGCCCGGGGCUCAACCCCGGUCCGCCGUUGAAACUGGCAGUCUCGAGUUGGAGAGAAGUAUGCGGAAUGCGCGGUGUAGCGGUGAAAUGCAUAGAUAUCGCGCAGAACUCCGAUUGCGAAGGCAGCAUGCCGGCUCCACACUGACGCUGAGGCACGAAAGCGUGGGUAUCGAACAGGAUUAGAUACCCCCGUAA
rnacentral:rRNA from 1 species